GAUGAACGCUGGCGGCGUGCCUAAUACAUGCAAGUCGAGCGAACAGACGAGGAGCUUGCUCCUCUGACGUUAGCGGCGGACGGGUGAGUAACACGUGGAUAACCUACCUAUAUGACUGGGAUAACUUCGGGAAACCGGAGCUAAUACCGGAUAACAUGAUGAACCGCAUGGUUCAACAGUGAAAGACGGUCUUGCUGUCACUUAUAGAUGGAUCCGCGCCGCAUUAGCUAGUUGGUAAGGUAACGGCUUACCAAGGCAACGAUGCGUAGCCGACCUGAGAGGGUGAUCGGCCACACUGGAACUGAGACACGGUCCAGACUCCUACGGGAGGCAGCAGUGGGGAAUCUUCCGCAAUGGGCGAAAGCCUGACGGAGCCACGCCGCGUGAGUGAAGAAGGUCUUCGGAUCGUAAAGCUCUUUUAUUGGGGAAGAACAAAUGUGUAAGUAACUAUGGACGUCUUGACGGUACCUAAUCAGAAAGCCCCGGCUAACUACGUG
rnacentral:rRNA from 1 species